rnacentral:rRNA from 1 species
AGAGUUUGAUCCUGGCUCAGAAUGAACGCUGGCGGCGUGCUUAACACAUGCAAGUCGAACGGUAACAGCAGUGCUUGCACUGGCUGACGAGUGGCGCACGGGUGAGUAAUGCAUAGGUAAUUUGCCCUUCGGACCGGGACAACAGUUGGAAACGACUGCUAAUACUGGAUAUACCUUCUCUCUAGAAUGAGAGUUGGGAAAUGAUUUAUUGCCGAGGGAUAAGCCUAUGUCCUAUCAGGUAGUUGGUGAGGUAAAAGCUCACCAAGCCAAUGACGGGUAGCGGGUCUGAGAGGAUGAUCCGCCACACUGGUACUGAGACGCGGACCAGACUCCUACGGGAGGCAGCAGUGGGGAAUAUUGCACAAUGGACGCAAGUCUGAUGCAGCAACGCCGCGUGGAGGAUGACACAUUUCGGUGCGUAAACUCCUUUUAUAUGAGAAGAUAAUGACGGUAUCAUAUGAAUAAGCACCGGCUAACUCCGUGCCAGCAGCCGCGGUAAUACGGAGGGUGCAAGCGUUAUUCGGAAUCACUGGGCGUAAAGGACGCGUAGGCGGGACAGUAAAUCAGAUGUGAAAUCCUAUGGCUCAACCAUAGAACUGCAUUUGAAACUGCUGACCUAGAGUAUGGAAGGGGCAGAUGGAAUUAGUGGUGUAGGGGUAAAAUCCGUAGAUAUCACUAGGAAUACCGAAAGCGAAAGCGAUCUGCUGGGACAUUACUGACGCUAAGGCGUGAAAGCGUGGGGAGCAAACGGGAUUAGAUACCCCGGUAGUCCACGCCCUGAACGAUGAAUGCUAGUCGUCGUGGAGCUCGUCUCUGCGGUGAUGCAGUUAACACAUUAAGCAUUCCGCCUGGGGAGUACGGUCGCAAGAUUAAAACUCAAAGGAAUAGACGGGGACCCGCACAAGUGGUUGAGCAUGUGGUUUAAUUCGAAGAUACGCGAAGAACCUUACCAAGCCUUGACAUUGAUUGAACGGACCAGAGAUGGACCGGUGCCUGCUUGCAGGAACAUGAAAACAGGUGCUGCACGGCUGUCGUCAGCUCGUGUCGUGAGAUGUUGGGUUAAGUCCCGCAACGAGCGCAACCCUCGUCGUUAGUUGCUAACAGGUUAAGCUGAGCACUCUAGCGAGACUGCCUUCGCAAGGAGGAGGAAGGUGAGGACGACGUCAAGUCAUCAUGGCCCUUAUGGCUUGGGCUACACACGUGCUACAAUGGGGUGUACAGAGUGUUGCGAUACCGCGAGGUGGAGCUAAUCACUUAAAGCAUCUCUCAGUUCGGAUAGAAGUCUGCAACUCGACUUCUUGAAGCUGGAAUCACUAGUAAUCGUAGAUCAGCAAUGCUACGGUGAAUACGUUCCCGGGUCUUGUACUCACCGCCCGUCACACCAUGGGAGUUGAUUUCACCCGAAAUCGGGAAGCUAACCUUCGGGGGGCUACCGCUUACGGUGGAAUUAGCGACUGGGGUGAAGUCGUAACAAGGUAGCCG